UACAUGGGGUGCAAACGUUGCUCGGAAUUAUUGGGCGUAAAGCGCGCGUAGGCGGUUACUUAAGUCGGAUGUGAAAGCCCUCGGCUUAACUGAGGAAGUGCACCCGAAACUGGCAGGCUUGAGUACGAAAGAGGGUCGCGGAAUUCCCGGUGUAGAGGUGAAAUUCGUAGAUAUCGGGAGGAACACCGGUGGCGAAGGCGGCGACCUGGGUCGAUACUGACGCUGAGGUGCGAAAGCGUGGGGAGCAAACAGG
rnacentral:rRNA from 1 species